UCAGAAACACCCACAUAAUCACUUUCGUCUUCUCUCUUUUUCUUCGCACAAAAGUCAUACACAAAACAACCUCAAACCCAAACAGAAACAUAAAAGGUAACAGUGAAAGUGUAAGUCUAAGAAGGAGAAGAAGAAGAAAGCAAGUAGUUACGUUUUCCCUUAUGUAAUGCAUCAAAAGAAAUCCGAACUCCAGAUCGGAAAAGAAAGCAGCGGCAUCUCUUCCGAUUUCAAACCCCUCCUCCACCACUACCACCACCACUCCCACCCUGUCCCGAACCUAGCUCCCAACCACAACCUCGAAACCCUAACCUCUACCGCCCCCUACAAAAGACCCUCCCUCUCCAAAUCCCAAACCCUCCACAGAUUCCCAAAAGCGCGACACGCCACUGCUCCCUCGGUCACAACCGCCGGCGCAACCGCCACGUGGCUCUCCUCAGCCGUCUCCCUCCGACGGCGCCUUCGUCAUCGCGUGCGCCUCUUCCUCUUCCUCUCCCUCCCCUUCUUCUACUUCCUCGUCUCCCACCCUACGAACUCCUUCCUCCUCGAUUUCCUGUCGGCGUUUUUCUUCUCCGCCGCGCUCUUCUUCUCGCUCAACCUCGCCCUGCCCCGAAUCCCCUCCCUCCGCCUCUUUCUCAAGCCCAAGGCCCGGCCCGCGCUCAAGCUCCCCGUGUUCUGUGCCCGGCCCGCCCAGCCCGUGUUUCAAUUCUCCGUGGUUGCGUAUUCUAACGGCGACGUUUACGAGGGGGAGUUCAGGGGAGGAAAGUGCUGUGGGAGUGGGGUUUACUACUACAGCAUGAGUGGGAGGUAUGAGGGGGAUUGGGUGGAGGGGAAGUACGAUGGCUUUGGGGUAGAGACGUGGGCCAGGGGGAGUAGGUACCGGGGGCAGUACCGCCAGGGGCUCCGCCACGGGUUCGGGGUCUAUCGGUUUUACACCGGCGAUGUUUAUGCCGGGGAGUGGGCCAGUGGGCAGGGCCAUGGCUGUGGGGUGCACACAUGCGAGGAUGGGAGCAGGUACGUGGGGGAGUUCAAGUGGGGCGUUAAGCAUGGCCUUGGACACUACCAUUUUAGAAAUGGGGAUGCAUAUGCGGGCGAAUACUUUGCGGAUAAGAUGCAUGGGUAUGGAGUAUAUAGUUUUGCAAAUGGUCAUUGUUAUGAAGGAUCCUGGCAUGAUGGCAAAAGGCAAGGUCUUGGAAUGUAUACGUUUAGAAAUGGAGAAACCCAGUCUGGUCACUGGCAAAAUGGGGUCCUUGACAUUCCCAGCACACAGAGUGCCACCUAUCCUGUUUCUCCUGUUGGUGUCAAUCAUUCCAGGGUACUAAAUGCAGUGCAGGCAUCCAAAGCUCUGUGAAUGGAGAGAAAAGAGGAAGGAGAGAGGUUCCUGAAGAAGAAAUUGAGGUAGAAAGGGUGGAAAAUCAGAAGUGCUGGAAAAAAAGAGGGGAGUUGUCCAUAAUUGAAGGGAAUGGCACCCAAGGUCACACAACAAGGGCAACAAACGUUUUUGAAGUUCAGAACAUCACAGGAACAACAGAAGUACACCUAACCAUCAAUAGCAUGGAAGAAAAUGCAGUCCAGGGGUUCAAGACCUGGCAACAAAAAUCCAAAAACCUUUCUUGGGAAGAUCUUGAUGGUGAGUUUGGGGCUGAUAAUAAGUGCAGUGACAUAAGCUGUUGCUCUAAGGGAGGAUAAUUUGACAAAGGUUGAUGGGGAAAAUACAUCAGGUGAAGACUGUGAUGGGAAUGUUGUGACUCUUGCUUCUCAGAAUGAAGUUGCAAAAGCUGCUGAUUUUAGUGGGAAGAGUGUGGUAGGUCUUGGUGCGUAUGUUAAAAUAGUGGAGGAGGGUGAAGACUGAGGAAAGAAAGCAAAAUGUGGUGGAAACAUGGUGACUACUACUUUUGAGAAUAAAGUAGAAGAUGCGGUUGUUGUGAGUGUGGAUGGUUCAAAAGUGGUUGGUGUUGAGGAAGCAAAAGAUGGGGGAGGCAGUGAAGAGGUAGAAAAAGACAGAUUGUUCCGAGAACACUAUGACUAUAUGGGUUCCAAUGGCAGAGACAAGUGAAAACAUGGUGGUAGAUGUGAAGGACUUCAGAGAUGAAGGGUAUGGUUUUGCUGUUGGUGAUUUUGGUUGGGGAGAAGCCCAUAGUAAAGCUUGGUGGCUUGGCCUAAUUUAUGACACACCUGAUGACGCAUUGAAGCUGGAACAAAAGAACAGAUCUCUUGGUUACCUACUUUGGGCAUGGAACCUAUGCGGGGUGUCUUCCAUCACAGUUAAAGCGUUUUGGGGACAACAUUGAUGAGAGGGUUAAACAGAGUAGCUGCAUCGAUUUUGCCAAUGCUGUACAAGAAGCUGCAGAGGAGGUUGGAAGGCCUCUGUCUAUGAAGCUGAGUGGUUUAGUCGUUGACAAGCAAACAGGUUCUGAAUCUGAAUCUACUCUCCUAUUGGGGAAAAAUUCUGGAAUCAAGGAAGGAGUGGUUGUGCCUGAAACUGGCAUAGAUAGAGUUUUAUAUAGUCAAACUGAGCCAGCAGAAUGACUUCCUCAUGUGAAUCAAAUUGCACGAGUCAGUGAUAGCGGUAGUAUUAUGGAGCUGGAGAUCUUCAAGGCUUGACUUUCUUCAUGUUAUUUGUCAAAAGGGAAUAAAUCACCUGAUUUUAUGGAUACCCAAUUGGUGCCUGGAAUUGGAAAUAGUUUACUGGAUGAAACAGUUGCUGUAGAAAACAGUAAAAGUACUACUGUGGAGGAAAGUAUGGAAGUGCCUGGAAUUGGAAACAAUCUACUGGAUGAAACAGUUGCUGUAGAAAACAGUAAAAGUACUACUGUGGAGGAAAGUAUGGAAGCAUAAUCCCUUACAGUAUCCAGAAAAGUUAAAGCAACACAGAUAAGUGCAGUGACUGCUGUUCUGCAAUAUCCUCCAGUUUAUAUGGAGAAGUUUUUUGAUAGCUCAAAUUACCAAACUACAGAAGACGAUGGGAAGAAGGCCACCACAGCUGAUGGAUCUGCCCCAGUGGGAUGAAUUGGCUGAUGGGAGAUCAAGUCUUGCAGCAAGUGUUAAUCCAAAGGCAAAAAGGAAGCCUUUAGGCAGCCACAUGGGAAGUUAUGGCAACAAUUAAUAACCACUUUCUAGACUACAACCUUGAGGACAAGGUUGUUUUUGCAGCUGUGAGUAAUGAUAGGACCAUGAGAGUCUAAGUUAGGAGAAAAGGGAAUAAAAACAAAACAUAGUCUGGAGGUGUUGAGGUUGUUAGGCUGUGUAGUGUCUCUUGGGGGGUUAGCUAUAUAAGGGGGGAAGCUGUCUUGAGACACGUUUUUGUAUCUUUGUUGUGGACAGGUUUGUACCUGUGAGAAGGGAGAUUGUUCCCUUGGAUGUUAUUGAACAUUUUCUUGGUUACCCACAGAAUAAUACAAGGUUUUUCUGCUGUGAGUGUGUGUUGUGUGUUCUGUCAUCAAAACAGAGGUCUUGGUUUCUUGUCACCAAGAAACCUAACAGUUACACACACAGGACAAAUUAGCCAGAAUUUCCACAGGUUUCACCUACAUUCAGGCGUUGUUGAAUAAGAUAAUAUGGAAGCAAGAAGAGCAGCUGAGAAGGCCUAUGAUGUGGCCAAGGUAGAUGAAAGAGUGAAUAGAGCAGUAGCAGCUGCUAACAGAGCAGCCAAUGCAGCUAGAGUAGCUUCUGUCAAGGCUGUGCAAAAUCAAAUGCAUC